rnacentral:snoRNA from 1 species
UGAUGACGCUUUCUCCGGAAUCUCUGCAGGCUGUGAUGACUGUACUUGAACCCUUUUCUGGCUGAUGACCAAAGCGGCUCCCUUCAGU